rfam:Tupaia chinensis contig234713, whole genome shotgun sequence.
AAAAAGCCAUUCUUCCAGUCUUAGACCGGAACAGUACAGAGGAUAUCAGCAUGACCGCUGAACAAGGAUGAGAUGCAAAUUCAUGAAGCAGUCUAUAUUUUU